rnacentral:rRNA from 1 species
AUUGAACGCUGGCGGCAUGCUUUACACAUGCCAGUCGAACGGCAGCGCGGGCUUCGGCCUGGCGGCGAGUGGCGAACGGGUGAGUAAUACAUCGGAACGUGCCCAGUAGUGGGGGAUAGCUCGGCGAAAGCCGAAUUAAUACCGCAUACGACCUGAGGGUGAAAGCGGGGGAUCUUCGGACCUCGCGCUAUUGGAGCGGCCGAUGGCGGAUUAGCUAGUUGGUGGGGUAAAGGCCUACCAAGGCGACGAUCUGUAGCUGGUCUGAGAGGACGACCAGCCACACUGGGACUGAGACACGGCCCAGACUCCUACGGGAGGCAGCAGUGGGGAAUUUUGGACAAUGGGCGAAAGCCUGAUCCAGCAAUGCCGCGUGUGUGAUGAAGGCCUUCGGGUUGUAAAGCACUUUUGGCGGGAACGAAAAGGACUGUGCCAAUACCACGGUUCGAUGACGGUACCCGCAGAAUAAGCACCGGCUAACUACGUG